UUAUUUCUCUUCAUCUCUAUCCCCCUGAAUCUCACUAGUUGUGGUGCACUUUCCCUUUUGCGAACAAAAAUCUUAUUUGUUGGCCAAACCACCACGUCCUUCACUGUCUCUGCUAUCGGGUUAGAUUAACGUCUCUCUCCUAGUCGUUGAAAUCGAUCUGUUGGGAGAAGCUGAGCAAGUCACUGAUAUUGGUCAAUCACUGCCACUGCUACGGGGUUCGAUUAACGUCUCUUGCUUAGCCACAGGUAUCGAUCUGCUGAGAGAAGCUGCGAAACUCUCUGUUACUGGGUGGGAGUAGAUGAUGCAUAGGAAAGUUUAUAUUGUAUUUGAGGGUUACAAGCAAGGAAUAUACCAGACUUAGGCGGAAUGCAGCCCCCAAGUGACCAGGGAACGAAGAUUUUCAGAAGGGAAUUAUUUCCAUGAAGUCACUGAAUCUUUGGGGAAGGGCCGUAGAUGUCUGGAAGUGUGUCAUUCCGAAGCAGAUAAAACCCCUAAACGUGUUGGGUUGGGGCAGGUCUCCCUGUUUCAUGUCUUGUUUUAUGUAUCUGUUGGAAUCAUUAUUAGGUAUUAUAUUCCCCACUGAGACAUGUAUGUACUGCAUGAUAAAUUACCCGUUAAUGAAUGAGUAUCUUAUGUAAAUGAGUUUUGUGCUCUCAUAUUU